rnacentral:rRNA from 1 species
UACAGAGGGGGCAAGCGUUGUCCGGAAUUACUGGGCGUACAGCGCGCGCAGGCGGUCUUGGACGUGCCGUGUGACAUCCGUCGGCUCAACCGACGGAGGCCAGGGUACACGACAAGACUGGAGACAGAGAGAGGGAUGUGGAAUACCCGGUGGAGCGGUGAAAUGCGUAGAGAUCGGGUGGAACACCAGGGGCGAAGGCGGCAUCCUGGCUCUGUUCUGACGCUGAGGCGCGAGAGCGUGGGGAGCAAACCGG